GCAGUUUAACUUUAUGGCCAAAGGAAGAGAGUGGGACAGGAGGACAGAAACUAACCCUUUCUCGAAAAAGAAACUGAAGUUAUGGAAAAAAACUAAGCUUCAGAACUUGUAGGUGUAACCACCACCACUCUUCAAGGAAGCCUCUCACUACAGCAAGUGGAGACCAUCAGAGAAAACCACGGCUGGACAGAAUGUGGGGAUAAACACCCAUGAAGAGCCUUGCCCCAACCCAUGCAUCUCCGUAAUAGCUCCUGCAUGUGUGGCGCAGAGGACAUCACAGAAGAGGGGUCUGAAAGACGUGAGAGCCAAAAUAAUACCAAGUCUUCUGUAAAUCAGUCUCUCCUAGAAAUGGCAGUAUAAAGAAGCCCAGAACUAUUAAUGGACAUUAAUAUUGACGUGUAUGGGAGAAAUUUCAUGGAGUCCCAUCUCCUGACAUUGUCUACUGGUUGUACAGUGCAUAGUGGUCAGCUUUGAAAGCAUAUAGAUACCAACAACAAAAUGAACUCAGCAGGUAAAAUGCCAAAAAUGUUUAUUUUGCUAGUCUGCACACUAAUGUGAGGAAGUCAAGAUGGCCAGCUCUUCAGAGACGCUUUAAACCUCAAGUUCUCCACAGGGGCACUGCAAGAAAAAUGUGGAAGAUGGGUUACUGAACAAACGCAGACACGUUCCCCUUUCUCAAAGCUUCCCCCACCAUAUCCACCUGCUCCCCAACCACCCCCAGGGACAAGUCACUGCAGGACUAGAGAAUGGGGCACAUCCUGUUGCACUGAGGCCAGACGAGGCAGACGAGUUAAGGGAAUGAGAUCCACAGCUCAUUGUUGUUUAACGCAAGCACAAUCUUCACUACACACAACAGUGCCUGGCAUAUAGCGGUGGUCACAGAACCUUCUUUUUAAACAGG
rnacentral:sRNA from 1 species